rnacentral:rRNA from 1 species
GAUGAACGCUGGCGGCGUGCUUAACACAUGCAAGUCGAACGGUGAAGGAGGAGCUUGCUCUUCUGGAUCAGUGGCGAACGGGUGAGUAACACGUGAGCAAUCUGCCCUUGACUCUGGGAUAACAGUUGGAAACAGCUGCUAAUACCGGAUACGAGACGUGACCGCAUGGUCAACGUUUGGAAAGAACUUCGGUCAAGGAUGAGCUCACGGCCUAUCAGCUAGUUGGUGAGGUAAUGGCUCACCAAGGCGACGACGGGUAGCCGGCCUGAGAGGGUGACCGGCCACACUGGGACUGAGACACGGCCCAGACUCCUACGGAGGCAGCAGUGGGGAAUAUUGCGCAAUGGGGGAAACCCUGACGCAGCGACGCCGCGUGAGCGAAGAAGGCCUUCGGGUGUAAAGCUCUGUUGUAAGGGACGAAGGAGCUGGGUAGUAACGUGACCUGGCGGUGGACGGUACCUUACCAAGCAAGCCCCGGCUAACUACGUGCCAGCACGG